GACGAACGCUGGCGGCGUGCCUAAUACAUGCAAGUUGAGCGCUGAAGGUUGGUACUUGUACCAACUGGAUGAGCAGCGAACGGGUGAGUAACGCGUGGGGAAUCUGCCUUUGAGCGGGGGACAACAUUUGGAAACGAAUGCUAAUACCGCAUAAAAACUUUAAACACAAGUUUUAAGUUUGAAAGAUGCAAUUGCAUCACUCAAAGAUGAUCCCGCGUUGUAUUAGCUAGUUGGUGAGGUAAAGGCUCACCAAGGCGAUGAUACAUAGCCGACCUGAGAGGGUGAUCGGCCACAUUGGGACUGAGACACGGCCCAAACUCCUACGGGAGGCAGCAGUAGGGAAUCUUCGGCAAUGGACGAAAGUCUGACCGAGCAACGCCGCGUGAGUGAAGAAGGUUUUCGGAUCGUAAAACUCUGUUGGUAGAGAAGAACGUUGGUGAGAGUGGGAAGCUCAUCAAGUGACGGUAACUACACAGAAAGGGACGGCUAACUACGUG
rnacentral:rRNA from 1 species